rnacentral:tRNA from 3 species
AGCUGCGCCGGCAGAUCGGGCUGGCGCGGCUGGUGCCCGUGCUGCUCGCGUGGAUCGCCGCCGCAGCGCUGCUG